rnacentral:rRNA from 1 species
AGCUAGGUGUAUAUAUACUUAGUUAUUUCUGCUCACUGGUAAUCUAAAUAGCCGCAGUACUCUGACUGUGCAAAGGUAGCAUAAUCAUUUGGCUUAUAAUUGAAGUCUGGCAUGAAAGAAACUAUGGGUAAUUACUGUCUCCCUUGGUCACCUUGAACUUCCUUAAAGGGUGAAAAUGCCCUUUGAUAAAUAAUAGACGAGAAGACCCUAGAAAUUUUUUAUACCAUAAGAUAAUCUUAUUUCUAUUUUGUUGGGGCGACAGAAUAACAUUUAACUUGUUUUAUUUAAUAUGAACUAUAUAUUGAGCAAAAAUAAAUUACUCUAGGGAUAACAGCAUAAUUUGAUAAAGUUUGUGACCUCGAUGUUGGACUAGGGAUUUCAUUAACCAGCAGUUAAUGAAACAGGCUCUGUUCGAGCAAUUAUUCCCUACAU